GAUGAAGAACGUAGCGAAAUGCGAUAAGUAAUGUGAAUUGCAGAAUUCAGUGAAUCAUCGAAUCUUUGAACGCACAUUGCGCCCAUUGGCAUUCCGAUGGGCAUGCCUGUUCGAGCGUCAUUAUCAACCCUCAAGCCCGGCUUGUCAUUGGGUCCUCUAUCGUUAAAACCGAUAGGCCCGAAAGAUAAUGGCGGCGUUGAGAUUUCACCCCAGAUGCAGCGAGCUUUUUCAGCACGUAUCGAAAGUGGUCUUAACCCAAGCCUUUUAACUAUAUUUCUAAGGUUGACCUCGGAUCAGGUAGGAUUACCCGCUGAACUUAAGCAUAUCAAUAAGCGGAGGA
rnacentral:misc_RNA from 1 species